AGUGAACGCUGGCGGUAGGCCUAACACAUGCAAGUCGAACGGAAGCACAGUAAGAGCUUGCUCUUAAGGGUGGCGAGUGGCGGACGGGUGAGGAAUACAUCGGAAUCUACUUUUUCGUGGGGGAUAACGUAGGGACACUUACGCUAAUACCGCAUACGACCUACGGGUGAAAGCAGGGGAUCUUCGGACCUUGCGCGAUUGAAUGAGCCGAUGUCGGAUUAGCUAGUUGGCGGGGUAAAGGCCCACCAAGGCGACGAUCCGUAGCUGGUCUGAGAGGAUGAUCAGCCACACUGGAACUGAGACACGGUCCAGACUCCUACGGGAGGCAGCAGUGGGGAAUAUUGGACAAUGGGCGCAAGCCUGACCCAGCCACACCGCGUGGGUGAAGAAGGCCUUCGGGUUGUAAAGCCCUUUUGUUGGGAAAGAAAAGCAGCAGGUUAAUACCCCGCUGUUCUGACGGUACCCAAAGAAUAAGCACCGGCUAACUUCGUG
rnacentral:rRNA from 1 species